GCUACUUCAUAACUGCAAUUUUGCUACUGCUAUGAAUCGUAUUGUAAAUAUCUGAUAUGCAGGAUACCUGAUAUGUUGUGCGACCCUGUGAAGGGGUUGUUUGACCUGCCUCCAAAGGGGUUAUGACCCAUAGGUUGAGAACUUCUGCCUACAGCAACCUAAAUGCUGCCCCUUUGCCCAUUCCAGGUCAAUCUUGUUUUUUCCCUCUCUUCUGUAUGCUCUCACCUUUUAACAGUGGAUCUCUCUUCCCGGAGCCUUGUGUGGCUGAUCCCUCUGCCCUCUGACUGCCACCUGAACCCUUCCUCUUCACCCAGUUUUUCAGCUCCAUGCUCUUUAUGGGUCCUUACUGAUUCCAAGACAGGCUCAGUUUCCCCACAAUAUAUUCUGGCCUUCAGCACAUUUUGGGGUUCAGGACACAAGACUCCAAAAAAUGUGACUGUAGAAAUCCACCAAAAUAUACCAUCUAAAAUAUGCCUAUGACAUGUCUAUUUUGAGAGGUUAUUUCAAGAAAUCACAGAUAUGGAAGCAUUGACACUUGCUUGUUCAUAUAAAAAACUACAUGUUUUUUGGUUUUUUUUAAUCUCAUAUGUAAGUGUGUCUCAUUGUCUGCACCAGGAAAAUGAUUAAGUCAAUAGAGACUCUAAUCUGUGAAGAAGGUGUUAGGUACAUCUGAGUUAACAUUACCUUCCUCUCCUUAAUGGCAUUCUCCUGGACCUCAAGCAAUAUUCAAGCUUUUCUCUUCAUUGCUGUGUAUUGUCCCAGCAUCUGCUAGAAAUCCAGACCCCUAGAUUCCUUCCUGCAGUUAAGGAUUAGACAUGGGCCUCAGUCACCUGUCUGAUGCUUUGAGUCGUCUAGUUUUAUGUAACAUAUAAUUACAUUUAUUUUUCUCUGGCUAACAGGCCAAGUGAAUUCACAGAUGAUCCAGGAAAGGAACUUUGAAGUAGAGAAAAAAGCAACUCUUCCUUCCUUGUAUUAAUUCAUGUCCACGUCUCUCCUGCAGUGUAAGCUUGUUCCCAUCUAGGUUCUGACUUAAAAUAUGGCUGACAGUGUGAGCACUCUCUAGUUAGUUGUUAAAUAAAUUAACUUAGUGAUGACACAUGGUGGGACUCUCUCAGUCAUAAUUUCUUGCUCUCCAGAGCGACUGAAAAUGUCAUAGACACAAAUGACUGUAAUCUAUGCUUAAAGGACUGAAAUAAUCGUUAUCUCCUCCAGGGUAAGUUCUGGGACCACAGCAGGAGGCGAGGAGUCCUGUACAUACAUACCAAGAAGCAAUGAAAGAGGAUGGUUUAAACAGUAGAAAUCAUCAGCCUCUUACAUGACCUCGAAACAGACUUGGGGGCUGCUCCAGGUCAAACUACCUCCAGGGUAGGCAGAACCCUCCCCUUCCACUGUUAAGGGGUGUUAACUGGAGACACGUCCGUCCGGAUGUCUGACACCAACACAGGAAGUAAACAUCUCAAUGCAUUCCAGCCCUACCCUCACCCCAAGCCACAGCAAGUGGCUGGCACUCACCAGAAGGCAGAAGAACCACAAUGGAUAGACCAUCUUGUGACCCUGGCCGCCUUGAUCUCUCCUGGCAGGAGUGAUCUUAAUGGGGCAGGGAAGUGAGCCAUCAGAUCAGAGUUAUGUUCUAUGUUGCACACUUUGGAGCCUCAACGUCCUCCUCUGAACAAUGGGAAACAUCAUGGAGUAUCCUGAGUAUUGGAUGGACCAGCGUCUGGCAUAAAAUAAGAACAAUAUCGAUGUCAUUUAUCCUAAAAUAACUGAGAUAUUCUACCUCACUGAAGAUAUUCUACCCAUAAACAGACACCACUUGGGGGAAAUAGAGAAAUACUACUCUGCUCAAGACUUGAAGAGCGACUUAUAAACACACCAAUACCUAAGGUCUCCACCUAGUCUACCACGUGUCUGAAGUGAACCAGGUAACUCCCUCCUACGAAUCAUUCUUGAACACAUGCUAUGUAUCCAGCCUUCGUCUGGGCUCUGAGUAGAUUACUCACCUGAUGAAUUUGUUGUUGUUUAAUAGUACAAAAUUUUCAUAAUGAACUGGUGGGGCAAAAGAAAAGGCCUGUGCAUAUUUUGUCUAGCUAUCCCUGUGUGCAUUUCUUGUUAUUAAAGGAUUACUUCUUCAAUGGACAUUUAA
rnacentral:sRNA from 1 species